rnacentral:rRNA from 1 species
CCUACGGGUCGCACCAGUAGGGAAUCUUCGGCAAUGGACGAAAGUCUGACCGAGCAACGCCGCGUGAGUGAAGAAGGUUUUCGGAUCGUAAAACUCUGUUGGUAGAGAAGAACGUUGGUGAGAGUGGAAAGCUCAUCAAGUGACGGUAACUACCCAGAAAGGGACGGCUAACUACGUGCCAGCAGCCGCGGUAAUACGUAGGUCCCGAGCGUUGUCCGGAUUUAUUGGGCGUAAAGCGAGCGCAGGUGGUUUAUUAAGUCUGGUGUAAAAGGCAGUGGCUCAACCAUUGUAUGCAUUGGAAACUGGUAGACUUGAGUGCAGGAGAGGAGAGUGGAAUUCCAUGUGUAGCGGUGAAAUGCGUAGAUAUAUGGAGGAACACCAGUGGCGAAGGCGGCUUACUGGUCUGCAACUGACGCUGAGGCGCGAAAGCGUGGGGAGCAAACAGGAUUAGAUACCCGGGUAGUC